GAAAUCCGAAAUGUAAUGAAUCUAAACUAUAUAGAUCCUGAUGCCUUUCAAGACCUUCCGUUACUGAAAUACCUGUGAGUAUAACAGCAAAAUAUGCAUUAAAAAUAUGACUGGCUAUCUAACUCCAUAUAUUUAGUUCCACUCCAACCAAGCAAGAUUUCAGUGAGCCGUAAUGUGUGGCAAGGUGAACAGUUAAAGGGACUGAACAGUUAAACACUAUAGUCACCAGAACAACGACAGCUCUGGUGGGUAUAAUCAUUCCCGUCUGGCUAUUGCCAGAAGGGAAUGAUUCUGGCAAAAAGCCACUCUUUAGAUGGCUCCUAGAGGUGCUUCCUGGGGCAGUGCUCCUCAGACCUGACCCUAUAGUGUUCCUUUAAAGUAGAGCUACCGUCCUCAAAAUGUGUGUGUAAAAAAGUCAUCUUGUUGGUAGUUUUUAGAUUUAAUUUAUACAUUAUGAUACAAAUAGUCAUGUCUAAAGUACAGGAUAUAUUUAUAUAUUACUUCAUUUGCCUCCAAGAUGGGAAACAGAAUGGACAAGUUUAAGGAACACUAUAGUGUCUGGAACACAAACAUGUAUUCCUGACUCUAGAGUGUCCCAGACCACUUCUGCCCAUUGGAGUGGUCUGGGUGCCAAGACCAUCACCCUUUUUAUAAACUGCAAUAAUUACCCUGCAGGGUUAAGUCCUCCUCUAGUGGUUGUCCAUCAGACAGCCACUAGAGGGACUUUCGGGUUCUUAAAACACGAAAAGUGUUUUAAACGACGCUUCGCAUCAUGCAUGAGGACCUCCAGCGUCGCCAGAAUCCCCAUAGAAAAACAUUGUAUAAUGCUUUACUAUGGGGAGGUCUAAUGCGCGCACGCCGCCAUUGCCACGCAUGCGCAUUAGGCCUCCCCUGCCAGCUGACAUCGGCAGGGGGAAGCGUGGGCGGAGCCUGACCCAGUGCCAAGGGACAUCAGCGCUGGAUUCAGGUAAGUCACUGAAGAGAUGCGUUGAAUUAAUGCAUUUCUAUGGGAAGGUUCAGCUCCUUCAUGCAGAGCGUGGAGAUGCUGAAUGCCAGUGCGGCACACAGUGCAAAAUUGACACAGAAAGCAUUCUAGUGAUCGUCUGAGUGACUGCCACUAGAGGUGUUACUAGGCAGUAAUGUGAACACUGCCUUUUUUUCUGCAGGGACAUGUUAUAGACGCCAGAACCACUACAUCAAGCUGUAGUUGUUCUGGUGACUAUAAUGUACCUUUAACAAAACCCCAGAAAAACUAUUUGUUCCGUAGGAAAGUAUAUGUUUUAUAGACAUAAUGCCAAAUAGAAUGAACUGAACAAUGUGAUAACUGGUACAUUUUCUAACGAGACUGACUUACUGCUUGCAUUGGCAAUAGGAUAAUAGGAUAGCCAUGCUAGUUGUUUAUUUUAUAAAUACAGAAAUCGACAAAGGCAUAUGUGUUGCAACCAGUAACGUUUAAAUUAACAUCUCAAACAAUUCCAAUAAUUGAAAAAUAGAAAGUACGGGCUACAGGCUGCAUUUAGUACUUAGUACCUGGACGUUUGUACAAAGAGUGCUUUGUAUUAGCUAUAGUGAUAUCACUUUGUAAUAUUUAUGACUGUUCCAUCUGACAGGAAAUCCUUCUCUUAUUCUCAUUCCUUCAGAGGGAUUUUAAACACCGGACUCGCCAUUUUUCCAGAUUUAACCAAGAUUCACUCUGCUGAUAUGAAUGUAUUUGUGUGAGUAAUAUAAGCUUUUAUGAAUGGAAGCGGAAAGCAAGUCAAUGUAUAAAACAUCACUGGAUUUAUCAAACACCGCUAGUGAGUUUUGGCAGCUCAAAGAGUGUGACUUGUACCAAUGGUAGAAAAAUUGUAGUAGGAAGUGUUUCAAAUUAACCCAUGGGUGUUUAUUUAUUGAACGGGGGAUUGUAGAGACAAAGAAAUAGCAAAUUGUAUACAAAAAAAAAAAUUAUAGAAUUUUUAUAGAACAAUUCCUAAUAUAUACAGGAUCGUCAAAUAAAUGCAUCUACAAAAAAUAUCUGAAAUAUACAUUUUUAAUACAUACAAAAUAAACUGGAAUAUAUAUAUUGAAAUAAAAAGUGAUUUUUUUUUUCUCGUGUAUGACCCUAUACAGACAUCUUUAUGCAACAAACAAUUGCAGAGGACACGAUAGGAUUAUGCUUUGUGUUGAUUUAUCACAAAUAUGUGCUGCAUGUUUUAGGAUUAAGUAAACAUGAAGUUCAUUUACUAAAUGGUAAACAGUUGACAAUCUACUUCAACAAUUUGGCUAUUUGGCCUACAUUUAGCAAGUUGGAUGCCAACUCAGUAAUGCGUGAUGUUUAGUGAGUAAAUCCUAUGUUUAAUUCGCUGUCACCAGCUCACAGCUGAAUGUCAUUCUCUAUUUGCAGGGAAAUUGCCGAUAACCCUUACAUUAGUACAGUGCCGGCUAAUGCGUUUCUUGGACUGGGCCAAGGCUUCCUCACCCUGUGAGUACAAAUGAGGCUCUUCCUGAAAUUGCAGUUUAGAACAAUUUAACUUGUAUUUCCAUAUAUUUCAAUAACACACGUCUAGCCCCAUCCAAGCCUCUCCAUUUCCUGAAGCCAUAUCUUUUCUAAAGUCACAUUCCCUCAAUUCAGAUUCCUAGCCGUUCUCCAACUGUACCCCUCCCAAAAAUUUAUUCUGACCAUAUUUCUCCAACUGAUCUCUCGUACUACAAACAUAAUACCCCUUCGACUCAGCCUCAUACCUCCAAAGCAUCUUGCCACAUUCACAUUCUCCAAAUAAUAACCUUCAAGACUACUUCAAUCCCUAAAAAACAAACAAACAGAACCAAACAAAAAAACACUGUUCAGGUUAAUUUCAAGGUUGCCUCAUGUAACAAUUGUGCAAGAAAAGGGAGAUGUGAUAUCCUAUUCCCACCCUUCCCUCCAUAAGCCUGAUUACACCAUAAGUACAACAAGGGAACCAGACUAUGUAACUGAAAUCCGUAGAACGAAGAAUUAAAGUUUUAUGCGCUGGGGGAGCCUGCUGCAGGUAUCAACCAUGGAGAUGAGCACUUAUGGAACCUAUACUGUACAUCAACAAGUGAGGCAAAAUGCCAUCUGUGAUCCGUCGGCCCCCAUAGGGUAGAUAUAAGUUGUCUCCUAUUGUGAUGUGUAAAUGAAAAACAGUAUUUCUCUAUGAUUUUUUUAUUUUUAUUUUAAAGCAAACUCUACAACAAUGGUUUCACCCAGCUGAAGGGAUUCACAUUCAAUGGAACCAAACUCGAUGAAAU